rnacentral:rRNA from 1 species
CCUACGGGGGGCUGCAGUAAGGAAUAUUGGUCAAUGGAGGCAACUCUGAACCAGCCAUGCCGCGUGGAGGAUGAAGGUCCUCUGGAUUGUAAACUUCUUUUAUAUGGGACGAAAAAAGGCUUUUCUAAGUCGUCUGACGGUACCAUAUGAAUAAGCACCGGCUAACUCCGUGCCAGCAGCCGCGGUAAUACGGAGGGUGCCAGAUUCAUCCGGAUUCACUGGGGCGUAGGGGUGUUUAGAUGUCAGUGUUGAAAUCCCCGAGCUUAACUUGGGAACUGCCAUUGAUACUAUCAGUCUUGAAUACCGUGGAGGUCGGCGGAAUAUGUCAUGUAGCGGUGAAAUGCUUAGAUAUGACAUAGAACACCAAUUGCGAAGGCAGCUGGCUACGCGGAUAUUGACACUGAGGCACGAAAGCGUGGGGAUCAAACAGGAUUAGAUACACCAGUAGUC